AGAGUUUGAUCCUGGCUCAGGACGAACGCUGGCGGCGUGCUUAACACAUGCAAGUCGAGCGCCCCGCAAGGGGAGCGGCAGACGGGUGAGUAACGCGUGGGAAUCUACCCAUCUCUACGGAACAACUCCGGGAAACUGGAGCUAAUACCGUAUACGUCCUUUUGGAGAAAGAUUUAUCGGAGAUGGAUGAGCCCGCGUUGGAUUAGCUAGUUGGUGGGGUAAUGGCCUACCAAGGCGACGAUCCAUAGCUGGUCUGAGAGGAUGAUCAGCCACAUUGGGACUGAGACACGGCCCAAACUCCUACGGGAGGCAGCAGUGGGGAAUAUUGGACAAUGGGCGCAAGCCUGAUCCAGCCAUGCCGCGUGAGUGAUGAAGGCCCUAGGGUUGUAAAGCUCUUUCAACGGUGAAGAUAAUGACGGUAACCGUAGAAGAAGCCCCGGCUAACUUCGUGCCAGCAGCCGCGGUAAUACGAAGGGGGCUAGCGUUGUUCGGAAUUACUGGGCGUAAAGCGCACGUAGGCGGAUAUUUAAGUCAGGGGUGAAAUCCCGGGGCUCAACCCCGGAACUGCCUUUGAUACUGGGUAUCUCGAGUCCGAGAGAGGUGAGUGGAAUUCCGAGUGUAGAGGUGAAAUUCGUAGAUAUUCGGAGGAACACCAGUGGCGAAGGCGGCUCACUGGCUCGGUACUGACGCUGAGGUGCGAAAGCGUGGGGAGCAAACAGGAUUAGAUACCCCAGUAGUCC
rnacentral:rRNA from 1 species